CACAAGUUUCUGAAAGCAGGGAUUUGAGAACUUGUCUGUUACAAGGCAGGGUCAAGAUUAACUUGGAGGUCUCAUUGUGUUUCUUGGAAUAACACAAGAGGCUUUGAAUACAUUCAUAACUUGCCCAGACAAGGCUCUGAACAGCCUGACCAAAUCUGUCUGGUGUCAGAAGAGGGGACAGGCUGCACCAGAUGACCUCCAGAAGCGCCCUCCUGCACGCUUUGACCUGAAUUAACGAGGACGUUAAACAAAACCAGAC
rnacentral:lncRNA from 1 species